AUUGAACGCUGGCGGCAGGCCUAACACAUGCAAGUCGAACGGUAACAGGAAGCAGCUUGCUGCUUUGCUGACGAGUGGCGGACGGGUGAGUAAUGUCUGGGAAACUGCCCGAUGGAGGGGGAUAACUACUGGAAACGGUAGCUAAUACCGCAUAACGUCGCAAGACCAAAGAGGGGGACCUUAGGGCCUCUUGCCAUCGGAUGUGCCCAGAUGGGAUUAGCUAGUAGGUGGGGUAACGGCUCACCUAGGCGACGAUCCCUAGCUGGUCUGAGAGGAUGACCGGCCACACGGGAACUGAGCACCGGGCCAGAUCCCUACGGGAGGCAGCAGUGGGGAAUUUUGCCAAAUGGGCGCAAGCCUGAUGCAGCCAUGCCGGGUGUAUGAAGAAGGCCUUCGGGUUGUAAAGUACUUUCAGGGGGGAGGAAGGGAGUAAAGUUAAAACCUUUGCCCAUUGACUUUACCCGCAAAAGAAGCACCGGCUAACUCCGU
rnacentral:rRNA from 1 species